rnacentral:misc_RNA from 1 species
GAUGAAGAACGUAGCGAAAUGCGAUACGUAAUGUGAAUUGCAGAAUUUAGUGAAUCAUCGAAUCUUUGAACGCACAUUGCGCCCUCUGGUAUUCCGGGGGGCAUGCCUGUUCGAGCGUCAUUAUAACCACUCAAGCUCUCGCUUGGUAUUGGGGUUCGCGGUUCCGCGGCCCCUAAAAUCAGUGGCGGUGCCUGUCGGCUCUACGCGUAGUAAUACUCCUCGCGUCUGGGUCCGGUAGGUCUACUUGCCAGCAACCCCCAAUUUUUACAGGUUGACCUCGGAUCAGGUAGGGAUACCCGCUGAACUUAAGCAUAUCAAUAAGCGGAGGA